UACGAAGGGGGCUAGCGUUGUUCGGAAUCACUGGGCGUAAAGCGCACGUAGGCGGACAUUUAAGUCAGGGGUGAAAUCCCAGGGCUCAACCCUGGAACUGCCCUUGAUACUGGAUGUCUCGAGUCCGGGAGAGGUGAGUGGAACUCCGAGUGUAGAGGUGAAAUUCGUAGAUAUUCGGAAGAACACCAGUGGCGAAGGCGGCUCACUGGCCCGGUACUGACGCUGAGGUGCGAAAGCGUGGGGAGCAAACAGG
rnacentral:rRNA from 1 species